UACGUAGGGGGCAAGCGUUGUCCGGAUUUAUUGGGCGUAAAGAGCGUGUAGGCGGCCAGACAGGUCCGUUGUGAAAACUAGAGGCUUAACCUCUAGACGUCGAUGGAAACUGUCUGGCUAGAGUCCGGAAGAGGAGAAUGGAAUUCCUGGUGUAGCGGUGAAAUGCGCAGAUAUCAGGAAGAACACCCGUGGCUAAGGCGGUUCUCUAGUACGGUACUGACGCUGAGACGCGAAAGCGUGGGGAGCGAACAGG
rnacentral:rRNA from 1 species